GUUUUCCUGUGGCAGCAUAUAUACUAAAAUUGGAACAAUGGAGAGAUAAGUUUCAUCCUGUGCAAGGAUGAAACCCAGUUCAUGAAGUGUUCCAUAUGUUU
rnacentral:snRNA from 1 species